GAUGAACGCUGGCGGCGUGCCUAAUACAUGCAAGUCGAGCGAACAGAUAAGGAGCUUGCUCCUUUGACGUUAGCGGCGGACGGGUGAGUAACACGUGGGUAACCUACCUAUAAGACUGGGAUAACUUCGGGAAACCGGAGCUAAUACCGGAUAACAUUUGGAACCGCAUGGUUCUAAAGUGAAAGAUGGUUUUGCUAUCACUUAUAGAUGGACCCGCGCCGUAUUAGCUAGUUGGUAAGGUAACGGCUUACCAAGGCAACGAUACGUAGCCGACCUGAGAGGGUGAUCGGCCACACUGGAACUGAGACACGGUCCAGACUCCUACGGGAGGCAGCAGUAGGGAAUCUUCCGCAAUGGGCGAAAGCCUGACGGAGCAACGCCGCGUGAGUGAUGAAGGGUUUCGGCUCGUAAAACUCUGUUAUUAGGGAAGAACAAAUGUGUAAGUAACUGUGCACGUCUUGACGGUACCUAAUCAGAAAGCCACGGCUAACUACGU
rnacentral:rRNA from 1 species